rnacentral:rRNA from 1 species
GGACCCGCACAAGUAGUGGAGCAUGUGGUUUAAUUCGAAGAUACGCGCAGAACCUUACCAACACUUGACAUGUUCGUCGCGACUCUAAGAGAUUAGAGUUUUCGGUUCGGCCGGACGAAACACAGGUGCUGCAUGGCUGUCGUCAGCUCGUGUCGUGAGAUGUUGGGUUAAGUCCCGCAACGAGCGCAACCCUCACUUUUAGUUGCCAUCAUUUAGUUGGGCACUCUGAAAGAACUGCCAGUGAUAAGCUGGAGGAAGGUGGGGAUGACGUCAAGUCCUCAUGGCCCUUACGUGUUGGGCUACACACGUGCUACAAUGGUAUCUCAACAGGAAGCAAGACUGCGAAGUU